rnacentral:rRNA from 1 species
UACGUAGGGUGCGAGCGUUAAUCGGAAUUACUGGGCGUAAAGCGUGCGCAGGCGGUUCGUUAAGUCAGAUGUGAAAGCCCCGGGCUCAACCUGGGAACUGCAUUUGAAACUGGCGGGCUUGAGUAUGGCAGAGGGGGGUGGAAUUCCGCGUGUAGCAGUGAAAUGCGUAGAGAUCCGGAGGAACCCCAGAGGCGAAGGCGGCGCCCUGGCUCGCAACUGACGCUCAGACACGACAGCAUGGGGAGCGAACGGG